rnacentral:rRNA from 1 species
UACAGAGGGGGCAAGCGUUGUUCGGAAUUACUGGGCGUAAAGGGCGCGUAGGCGGCCUUCUAAGUCGAACGUGAAAUCCCUGGGCUCAACCCAGGAACUGCGUCCGAUACUGGAUGGCUUGAGUUUGGGAGAGGGAUGCGGAAUUCCAGGUGUAGCGGUGAAAUGCGUAGAUAUCUGGAGGAACACCGGUGGCGAAGGCGGCAUCCUGGACCAACACUGACGCUGAGUGAGCGAAAGCCAGGGGAGCAAACGGG